rnacentral:rRNA from 1 species
AGAGUUUGAUCCUGGCUCAGAUUGAACGCUGGCGGAACGCUUUACACAUGCAAGUCGAACGGUAACGCGGAGAGAAGCUUGCUUCUCCCCGGCGGCGAGUGGCGAACGGGUGAGUAAUACAUCGGAACGUGUCCGCUCGUGGGGGACAACCAGCCGAAAGGUUGGCUAAUACCGCAUGAGUUCUACGGAAGAAAGAGGGGGACCCGCAAGGGCCUCUCGCGAGCGGAGCGGCCGAUGACUGAUUAGCCGGUUGGUGAGGUAACGGCUCACCAAAGCAACGAUCAGUAGCUGGUCUGAGAGGACGACCAGCCACACUGGGACUGAGACACGGCCCAGACUCCUACGGGAGGCAGCAGUGGGGAAUAUUGGGCAAUGGGCGAAAGCCUGACCCAGCAACGCCGCGUGAGGGAAGAAGGUCUUCGGAUUGUAAACCUCUGUCCUUGGAGACGAAGGAAGUGACGGUAACCAAGGAGGAAGCCCCGGCUAACUACGUGCCAGCAGCCGCGGUAAUACGUAGGGGGCGAGCGUUGUCCGGAAUUACUGGGCGUAAAGGGUGCGUAGGCGGCAAUUUAAGUUGGAUGUGAAAUACCCGGGCUUAACCUGGGGGGUGCAUUCAAAACUGGAUAGCUAGAGUACAGGAGAGGGAAGCGGAAUUCCUAGUGUAGCGGUGAAAUGCGUAGAUAUUAGGAGGAACACCGGUGGCGAAGGCGGCUUUCUGGACUGAAACUGACGCUGAGGCACGAAAGCGUGGGGAGCAAACAGGAUUAGAUACCCUGGUAGUCCACGCUGUAAACG